rnacentral:sRNA from 1 species
GCGCUGGCAAAAAACCAGCGCCGGGAUUGGAACCCCCGAAAAUCACUUCACGGCGGUACAUUGAGACGCUUUUGCGUCUUUUUU